rnacentral:rRNA from 1 species
UACGUAGGGGGCAAGCGUUGUCCGGAAUCAUUGGGCGUAAAGAGCGUGUAGGCGGCUCGAUAAGUCUGCUGUGAAAGUCCAGGGCUCAACCCUGGAAGGCCGGUGGAAACUGUCGGGCUAGAGUCCGGAAGAGGAGAGUGGAAUUCCCGGUGUAGCGGUGAAAUGCGCAGAUAUCGGGAGGAACAUCAAUGGCGAAGGCAGCCCGCUGGGACGGCACUGACGCUGAGGCGCGAAAGCGUGGGGAGCAAACAGG